rnacentral:rRNA from 1 species
UACGGGGGGGGCAAGCGUUGUUCGGAAUUACUGGGCGUAAAGGGCUCGUAGGCGGCCAACUAAGUCAGACGUGAAAUCCCUCGGCUUAACCGGGGAACUGCGUCUGAUACUGGAUGGCUUGAGUUUGGGAGAGGGAUGCGGAAUUCCAGGUGUAGCGGUGAAAUGCGUAGAUAUCGGGAGGAACACCAGUGGCGAAAGCGGCUACCUGGCCCAUUCUUGACGCUGAGGCGCGAAAGCUAGGGGAGCAAACGGG